AACGAACGCUGGCGGCAUGCCUAACACAUGCAAGUCGAACGAGACCUUCGGGUCUAGUGGCGCACGGGUGCGUAACGCGUGGGAACCUGCCCUUAGGUUCGGAAUAACUCCCCGAAAGGGGUGCUAAUACCGGAUAAUGUCUUCGGACCAAAGAUUUAUCGCCUUUGGAUGGGCCCGCGUUGGAUUAGCGAGUUGGUAGGGUAAAAGCCUACCAAGGCGACGAUCCAUAGCUGAUCUGAGAGGAUGAUCAGCCACACUGGGACUGAGACACGGCCCAGACUCCUACGGGAGGCAGCAGUGGGGAAUAUUGGACAAGGGGCGAAAGCCUGAUCCAGCAAUGCCGCGUGAGUGAUGAAGGCCUUAGGGUUGUAAAGCUCUUUUACCCGGGAUGAUAAUGACAGUACCGGGAGAAUAAGCUCCGGCUAACUCCGUG
rnacentral:rRNA from 1 species